AAAUCUGGUUGAUCCUGCCAGAGGCGACCGCUUUGGGAGUUCGAUUAAGCCAUGCGAGUCGUGAGUCUUAGGGACUCGGCAUACUGCUCAGUAACACGUGGAUAACCUGCCCUAUCGUUUGGAAUAACCUCGGGAAACUGAGAAUAAGGCCACAUAGUUCACAAUGCCUGGAACGGUUUGUGAAUCAAGGUAGGAUGGGUCUGCGGCGUAUCAGGUUGUAGGGGGUGUAAAGGACCCCCUAGCCUUCGACGCGUACGGGUGUUGGGAGACAUAGCCCGGAGAUGGAUUCUGAGACACGAAUCCAGACCCUACGGGGUGCAGCAGGCGCGAAAACUU
rnacentral:rRNA from 1 species